AGGGAAUCAGGACGGAGGGGUCGGCGAGACGUAGUCAGCAAGGUCGGCGUCCAAAUCCUCCUCUUCGCUGUCGCCAUCGUUGAGGCACGGCUUCUCAGUAGGAGGCCCGGCCCCGUCAGCAGAUUGCCAACGCUCCCACUCCGACUGAGUCCGGGGCACAACAGCGGGAGCGAGCCUGGGGCAGGCCAGGCGAUGCAUGGCGCGACAGUGCUCGUAGCCUUUCCAGAAGCCCGUGCCCUUCUCCACCGCCGUUCGUUCCUUCGCCUCGUCCCGGAGCUGGUUGAACUUAGCGCGGAAUCGUUCGGACAACGCAUGCGCGGACCCAGCUUGAUCCUCGGCAAGUUUCUGGGCGCGCACGGUUGCAAUAUUGAGAGCCUUCUUAGACUCGGCGACACGGUCCUCGGCCCAAGUGAUGCGACUCUGAAGACUCGAGGAAGGGUGUAGGCGGUGUCCAGGGGCCCGAGGAAGGGUGUAGGCGGACCAGCGAAGCUCGAGCAGAACGCGGGCCAGUUCGGUGGUAGGCGGUGAGGGUAAAUCAACAACGCAAACUGAGGCAUGAAAAGGAAAAGGACGUUCAAAAUUCAGAAAAAAAGGCAAAAUACUUCGAAAUGGUAUUAAAGUGAUAAAUUUCUAUUACAAGCCCGGAGGCACUACAAAGUUACAGCAAAAGCCACAAGGCGCCCUAAGCUACAAAAAAGAAAGAAAGAGCUAAACGUGUUUUAAAGAAAAAGCGAAACGACGUCGAGAUGCAAGUCGGGGGAACCACACGACCCCCUUCAAGAGAUGCUUAAGGCAACACAAGGAGAGGGGAGGAGGUACCCACAGACGGCGCACCUGCAGGGCCAAACAGACCUAUGACCGACAGGGACCGGGCCGAAGCAGCCCCCGAACCCAGCGCAAACGGAGGCCUAGCGGCCAGACUUUAGCGGCCUCGACAGGAAGUGUCGCAAGUCAGUAGCAGGGAGAGACGAGGACUCACGUGAACCGCGACGACCGCGAGAGCGCCGACGGCGACCCCCACCAGCAACAGGGACAGAAGAGGCUGAACCACGCAAGGAGCAGCAGAUGCUACAGGUGGCAGCGGUGGCAGCAGCAGAGGAAGCCGGGGUCCCAGAAGGAGGAGCGUCGGCCUAGCGAAGUUGCGCGAGGUGGCGAUGGAUGUUGAUCAGGACUGAGUUAAGUCGCUGGCUUUCCGACACGGCAACAGGAUGGAAAGAACUACCAGGCAUCUAAGCACUCAGUCCAAGCAGAGUGUUGGAGCUUCACUGCACGACUAAACUCUUCCAGCAGAUCUUGAACGGCCAUCGGUCUUGUUUUCUUCUUCUGGUCAUCAAAAGAAGAGGGAGAGUAUUUAUAGACACGUGAAGAAGGGAGGGCAUGGCUCACGAGACGCCAUAAAGGAAGGUAGGUGGGCGGCCCUUUAGGACCCCUGGCCCGGGGGGGAGUACUGUUAGUACCAGGGCCCGUCAAGUCGGACCCUGGACCAAGCAGACCUACUAAGCCUGUUAGGCCCUAGGGCAGGAGUUAUAAAUACCUCCCAUAGUGCAGCAGGAAGGGGGAUCGGUUACCUGAGAAUAUGAAUACUAAAGAAUUGUGUGUGUGAGCACCCUAACGCGAGCCCACACACCAUCAGGUUUAUAAAAGAUGAAAAAUUUAUAAUUAUGUAUAUUAAAUUUUUUAUAAAGUAUUUUUUUAUAAAAUUAUAUUAAUUAUUUAUAUUUUAAUGAUUUUUUAAUAAAUUUCUUCGGGUUUCAGGUGAGUCGGGUUUGGUUCGGGUCAAACCCGAACCCGAUCCAAAAAAAUCGGGUAAAAAAUACUCGGGUUCGGGUCGUUCGCAUCGGGUUUUAUGACCGAAAAUAUCGACCCAAACCCGACCCACGCCCACCCCUACCAUAACUUUUAAAAGUAAAAACAAAAAAUAAAUCUAAAAUAGACAUAAGGUUUAAAAAAAUAAGAUUUAAGUUUUAAAUUGUAAUAAAUUUUUAAUUUUAAUAAUCCUAUAUCUAAUUCCGGGGCAUCCCACCUAGGUUUCGCCCUGCCCCGAGACCCGUCUCGGAAGAUGAUCGGGGCAACGGAGCAAAAAUUAAAAAACAGGGUAAGAUAUCUGCCAUGUCCUCUGGUUACCACCGGGGCACGGACCGGGGCGACCCGCCUCGUUCUCACUCUUAAUUAGGGGUGAGAAUGGAAAAAAAUGACCGACACGGUUCCCAUCUCACCCCCAUUUUCUAAUCAACCCUAUCAAGGACUCUAGGACGAAACCCUAGAGGACCCAAUAACACAUGACUCCAUUGCACACCCCAAAUUUAUUCAACAUAUCUACUGGCGUGGCGAUCGUCAACCUAGGUUUCCUAAAUAGGGAGGGCCGGUCUCUUCAAUUAGAGGUUAUGAACUAUUGAUGACGGUAGGAAUUAAACUCGAUCUCAAGCGAAAGUAAUUGAAUGGAAAUUGAUCUUCAACAAUUGAACAAUUCAUAAUACAUACAGUGGAUUACUUGAACCUGAACCUUUAACCAUCUUAAUAGUAACUGUGAACAACUGAGCCAAUCAAUUAUGUUGAUGGUCUUAUUUUCAUUCAAUGGGUCAUGAUCUCACCCAUGCAUAUUCAAUAAUGAGUAAAAAUAAAUUGCUUAAAGUAUAAUAACAAUUUAUAUCCUCUGUGAAAUCUAAUUAUAAGUUGUUGAUAUCCGAGCCCUUCCAGACGGAUCAUGGGCCGAACAUGACUAUUGGAUCCAGAAGGCCCAGAAAGAUGUCCUAUAAAUACCUCUCCUAGUGCAACAGUGAAGCGAUUAUCAAUAAGAACAAUACUAGAGAGUUGUGUGUGUGAGUCCCGUAAUACGAGCCCACACACCAUCAUAAAUAGAGUUAUAAGUAGAGACCAAAGAGAUUUCUUGCAAUUUAUUGCUUAUUGCUGUGUAAGCCUUCUUUUCCAACAACCUCAAGAUCAAUUAAGCUCAUUUUCAGACCUAUGUACACGAAAAAAGCGUAAAGGGACGAACAUUUUAAGACCAUGCGCCCAUUUUCAUGAUCUUGAGGUUGCAAGGGUCAUCAGAUAUGAACGAACAUCAAUCAGUUCACUAAAUAACUCAACGACCGUAUUAUGAAGUAUUUUGAACAUCAAAACUGUACCCUAAAUCCUAAUAAACCCUAAAGCUUAAAUCAUUUAUAGAAAUUGAUUUUAAAUUGAAGAAGACAUCUUUCCCCCCACCUCUGCUUGGAGCUUUUUCUCAUUGUUGUUUGAUUCUUUUUUUAUUUCUUUCACCUUCCAUCUCCAUUAUUUGGAAAGCCAGGAAUCAAGAAUCUCUUUCUUUCAACCCAUCUCUCUUUUCUCACCUCUCCCUUCUCCUCACAUAUUCCUCUCCUUUUUCCUCCACACCUUCUGAUGCUCUUUUCAUCAUAUAUGCUUCUUCCACCACCUCUCCAUGUUCACCAUGGUGUCGUAUUCUUUACUUCUCCUUCAAACUCCUCCAAAAACGUCUUCUUCUUCCUCUUCUUCUCCUUCUUCUCCUCCCUCUUCCUUCUCCUCCUGGUGGGGCGGCAGAGUUGCCUCUUUCAUGAUGGCUUAUU
rnacentral:lncRNA from 1 species